UGAUGAUGAUGAUGAUGAUAACGAUGAUGAUAAUGUAGAAGAUGGCGUGCGAUAAGAACGGUAUUAGUAUUGGUAGUAGUAGUGGUAGCAUCAUCAUCGUCAUCAUCAUAUUCC
rnacentral:miRNA from 1 species